rnacentral:snoRNA from 1 species
UAUCAGGAUGAUUGUAAAGAAAAAAAAUAAAAUAAAAUAUACGCUGGAAAUUACCGGCUGAGACUUUCAAGUCGUUGAAGACACCAAAAUGGCUAUAUCUGAUU